ACAGCACUGUUGAGCAGAAUUUGCUGGGCAGCAGGACAAGGGAGAACUGAGGGGAGACAGACAAAUGGGGAAGAGCAAGCGAGAGGCUGAGGCAAAGGGUGCAUCUAAGAGAGAAAGGGUUGGUGGGAAAUAAAAGGAGAGGUGGGGGGAGUCGGAAGGGAGGAGAGCAGAGACGUAGACUGGGCCAAGUCAGAAGAGAGGGAAAUGAUUUUAGCAGCUGCAGUUUGGAUUAAUUGGAAAGGGGAGAGCAAAGGAGGAGGUCACAGUCGGUGAGGCACAAGCUGGCAGAGGCAUGGACCAGUGCUUUAUCAGUGGCAUGGCAGGGAAGGAAGAAUGAAUGUAGAGACAUUACAGAGGAAGAAGUGAUGUGGUUUAUUAAGCACCUACAUGUGAAGAAGGCAUCAGCGAUGAGCCUGGAAGCCUUGAUGCUGAGAACAGGAGAGCGCUCAGUGCAGGGCUCACCCUCAAGAAGUGCUAAUGUCUCUCAGGGGUACAUUGCCACGAGGGAGUGGGCUGUGGCAGGAGGGGGCCUCAACGCCUGGAGAUUAAAAGCACCUCGGUACUGGAGAAGAAAGCAGGGUGGAAACAUUAGUGAUUCCCUGAUCAUGACCCCCUGUGGUUUUUCUGAUGAGGGGGCCACUGCUGCUGUGACCCAGAGAGGACUGUCAGGGAAGCUCAGGAGGUUCAUGGGAAGACGAGACUGAAAACAGAGUCGUUGGAGAAGAGACUGGGGCAAUCUGCAGCUCUCCUGAAGUCGACACAUUGGGAAAACACUCAAUACGGUACACCACAGCAGCUGUGCUAAGACUUCGAAGGAGUCAGAAGAAGAAACACACUUUAAACUGAAUAACCUACAAUGACCUGUGGCCACAGUAGAUUGAGAAGUGGAUAAGAUGAUUUCUCAUACAAAUGCAGAUGUCUCCCAUCCAAGUACUGACCAGGACCAGCCUUGCUGACCUUAUGAGACCGUGCAAGAUCACAGUGCUCAUACAGUCUGUCUACAGGUUAGGGACUUUUUUUAU